rnacentral:rRNA from 1 species
UGCCAGCCGCCGCGGUAAUACGGAGGGGGUUAGCGUUGUUCGGAAUUACUGGGCGUAAAGCGCGCGUAGGCGGAUUGGAAAGUUGGGGGUGAAAUCCCGGGGCUCAACCCCGGAACUGCCUCCAAAACUGCCAGUCUAGAGUUCGAGAGAGGUGAGUGGAACUCCAAGUGUAGAGGUGAAAUUCGUAGAUAUUUGGAAGAACACCAGUGGCGAAGGCGGCUCACUGGCUCGAUACUGACGCUCAUGGACGAAAGCGUGGGGAGCGAACAGGAUUAGAUA